rnacentral:rRNA from 1 species
AUUGAAGAAAUUAAGGGCGCACAGUGGAUGCCUUGGCACUAAGAG